ensembl:lncRNA
UGCACAUCACAAAUUUUUUUAUUGCUAUCGUCUCCAAUAGAAUUGCAUGCUCAGGGUGUGAGCUGAAGAGGCUUUUGAACACCCCCAGACUGCCCAGAGCCCUCUCCAUUUUUUUUGGUGAUCUGGGUGAGAGGCCAGAAAGCGUCGAUGUUCCGUCCAAAUUCCCCCUCCAAAAGCUGGAUGGCAGCGAAAAACCCUUCCGAAGGCCUCAUUAGGUUUGCCGUUGCCGUGUAUUUUUUUGCCUCCAGGAAGGGGUGGUCCUCACUUGUGGCGUAGCUGUGGUCCUGAUGUCUGGCACCCAACAACAGCACCUCACAGUGUGGACAGGCCUGAACAAUUUCCUCCUUUUGAAGGACCCGGACAAGCCAGCCAGCAACGUAGAACAGGCCCUCCUCCUGGAUGCAAUCGCCAACAGUCUACAAAAGGUGAGGGACAUCAAAAAUCACAGGAACCCUCUGAACCCCCACCAGGAUACAGUGGGACUCCUCACCUCCCAGAGGGUCCAGGCUAGCCCCAAGCCCUAUAUGAUGUAGGUGGCGAAUGGCAUCCUUAAUGACGGUAGCAAUAUCAUCUGCUGGCAUUGAAGAUGGGGAAAAGAAGUAACCAACCGUCUGUUGAAAGAAAUGCCUUAGGUAAAUGUGUUUGAAUAUACACGGCAAUAUCAUAACAAAUGUUUUUCUAAGGUAUGGCUUGCCUGCUUCCAUUUCCCCAUAAUGCCCCUAGCCAUGACGACCAUCGCUUGUUUUGCUGCAGCCCCAGAUGCAGAUACACCAUAAAUGGCAUCGUUCUUGCGAUCGUAAUCAAAUUGUUUUUGAUUGACAUCUCGUCCAGGACGAGCGUACACAUCCUCUCCACAGGGGUCAUGGUGGCGGCGAUGACUCCCAUUUGGGAGAUGAUUCCCUGUAGGAAGCCAGGCUGUCAGGAAAUAAAAGUUGUGCCCUAAUGAAGUUCCGGCAGCCCUCAGGACACCUCUGGAGCCUCUCCUCCAUAAUUUCAUGGGGACUACGAAAGAACAAGAGGUGGGGAGGCAACUGGUGGCGGGUUGUCGCAAUCCACCAGUGUGGGGAUGGCAUCUCUGCAUUCCUCAAAAUGCAGUUCACAGACAACGUAGCCCCCCUGCAUUAACUCCUCGUGUGACAUGGAGUGUCUGAGGUCACUUCGCCUCAUGUUUAUGAGCCAUUUCUUUCUCCUGAAAUAGAAAGCUGGAUUAGAAUCAUAAUU